rnacentral:rRNA from 1 species
GAUGAACGCUGGCGGCGUGCCUAAUACAUGCAAGUCGAGCGAAUGGAUUAAGAGCUUGCUCUUAUGAAGUUAGCGGCGGACGGGUGAGUAACACGUGGGUAACCUGCCCAUAAGACUGGGAUAACUCCGGGAAACCGGGGCGAAUACCGGAUAACAUUUUGAACCGCCUGGUUCGAAAUUGAAAGGCGGCUUAGGCUGUCACUUAUGGAUGGACCCGGGUCGCAUUAGCUAGUUGGUGAGGUAACGGCUCACCAAGGCAACGAUGCGUAGCCGACCUGAGAGGGUGAUCGGCCACACUGGGACUGAGACACGGCCCAGACUCCUACGGGAGGCAGCAGUAGGGAAUCUUCCGCAAUGGACGAAAGUCUGACGGAGCAACGCCGCGUGAGUGAUGAAGGCUUUCGGGUCGUAAAACUCUGUUGUUAGGGAAGAACAAGUGCUAGUUGAAUAAGCUGGCACCUUGACGGUACCUAACCAGAAAGCCACGGCUAGCUACGUGCCAGCCGCCGCAGUAA